AAAAAAAUCCUACAUCUCAUCCGCACUCCUCUCUUCCAUCGCUCUGACCCUUCCGUCACUCUCUCCCUCGUAACAAUCUCUUCUCGCCCGACUGCACUCUUCGCUCGACGAGGUCUUCGCUCGAUUGCGCUUUUCCUUUGCUUGUCCUUUGCAGUUCGUCUCUCCUCUCUCCCCCUCGCUCCCGAAGCCCGGUGUUCCCGGUGAGAAAGGAGGAGGUCUUGGACUGCGGCCGGUGGAGAGCUCCUGCGGGUAUCGCAAAUCGCCAAGUGGGUCCAGCGUUUCUCACGUUGCGCAUUGGGACGGGAUAGAGUUUUCUCCCUCUCCAACAGCGGAAUCAAAUGGUGCAGAGAACGCUAACAUUGGUUAUGUGCUAGAUGAAUGGGAUGAAGAAUAUGAUCGGGGAAAGAGGAAAAAGGUGAGGCAAGCUAAGAUUGAUUUUGGUGGCCCAAAUUAUUUCCAGAAAAUCGCAUCGGAGAAAAUAAAUAUGAUGAAGACAAAACUUGAUAAGGCUAGCUCUGGGAGUUUGCCAUUCAGGAUAUAAGGUGAAUCUGUGGCAGGCUUCAAGCAAAGUCUGUUGAUUUUGAUCAUCCGAUUGAUAAAGCUGCAUUACUUGAUUGUUGCCCAUCAUCGUAUGAGGAGUCUGCCCUACUUCUAGCGUUUAGGUACGAGGCUCUGUGAGAUUGGCUACUUUUAUGACCAUUUCUCUGUUUCCUUUGAGAUUUUGUUUGUUCCCUCAAGAGACGUCAUGGUGGAUCAAGCACUGGGGCAUAUUUUUCUCAGUUCAGGCUUUUAUUGCCUGUGUUAUGUAUUUAGCUGUGUGUUUGUGUAUUAGCUAGUUAAUGUAAUAAAACCUUUGAAGGGAAGAUUCUUUGAACAUCUGACAAUGUUGUAGCUCAGUAUUGUGGAGGGCAUUGUUAAAUUAUUAGAUUAUUUUCUUUGAUGAUA